UCUGUCUCUCUCAAAUAAGUAAACUUAAAAAAAAUUAUUAUAAUGGUUAAAAGAACUUUAUUUUUUUUUUUUGAAACUUACAGCAAAGCUUCUUUGAUUAUCAUCAGUCAUUCCAUUCUCUGGUACACAUGUGAAGAAAUUUGCUACUCUUUACCUUGAUCACACUACCUAGAGCUGCCCAUGUAAAAAGCAACAUGAUCAUAAAUUACAUGCCUUCAUUUUUGACAUCUGACCUCGUAAUGAUAAAAUCAGGAAACCACAGACAUUUGAAAGUGAAAGAUCAACUCCAGGAAGUCCAUGGUUUCAGACAAUAAAUACUGAUCCACUUUGCCUAAAUCCAUUGCAAUAUAGUGUUUUAGGUCUAGAUAUUACUUUUUCAAGUGGCAGGAUUCUGGUUAUUUAAUUGAAAGUAGAGAUUUCAAUAGCUCUGGGCACCUCUUGGUACCUGAAUGAAACAUAUGUCUCCUAUUGGAACAGCUUAGCACCUUUGGGCUUGACAACAGGGACAGAUCUAAGAUUCUGAAAUAAUAUUAGAUUCCUUAGUUGAUUUGUAGCAUACGUUUGAAAUCACUGUUUAUUUUCUCAAUUCGUGGGGUCUUAACGCACAUGGCCUUUUCUCUGUAUCUGCAGCCAGUCUCUCCGCAGGUCUUCAGCUUCAGGUGCUUGUGUAAGAGUGCGGGCUGCUGCCUCAGUUGUCUCUCGUGGAAGGCCUCAAGUAUAUGUGCUGCUGAAGUGAGCAUCCUGCUGCCUUAGGAAGGCUCCAAAUCUCUCUUGGCUAAGCAAGGGUAAGAGAAAUCUGGGAUUGCAUGAUAAUGGAUGAGCCAGAGGUAAGCAAGGUUCAAUAAGAACUUUGAACAAGACCCUUAAAAUGUACUCUGUCUCAGAAUUCUAAAGCUCCAUCUAAACUCUAACUGAAGGGCUAAGUUCUAAAAUGAUAGUUAGGCAUUUUGCAAAUUUCCCAUCCUUAUAGUCCCAGCAUGGGGUGGCAAGGUUAGUGGUGAGCCCUAAACUCAUCUGAAAAUCUUUUAGAAAAUACUGGUACCUGGGACUCAUCCAAGACCAAUUAAAUCAGAAAUACUAUGAGUUGGGGUAUUGAUACCUCUGUAAAAGUUCCCAAUGAAUUUAAAAAGGAGCUAGGGUUGAGAACCACUGCAUUAUUGGA